rnacentral:rRNA from 1 species
UACGGAGGGUGCGAGCGUUGUCCGGAAUCAUUGGGCGUAAAGGGCGCGUAGGUGGCCCGGUCAGUUCGUGGUGAAAGCGCGGGGCUCAACCCUGCGUCGGCCAUGAAUACUGCCGCGGCUGGAGCACUGUAGAGGCAGGCGGAAUUCCGGGUGUAGCGGUGGAAUGCGUAGAGAUCCGGAAGAACACCGGUGGCGAAGGCGGCCUGCUGGGCAGUUGCUGACACUGAGGCGCGACAGCGUGGGGAGCAACAG